rnacentral:lncRNA from 1 species
AAGAAAUUUCCAGUCUUGGACACGAACAAAGCACAGUGGGAGACUCUGGAGGCCUGGAUUAAAACUACAUUCGGCUUGAGCCAUUUUCAAGUGAAAUAUUUUGACGAGGACAACGAGGAGGUGUGCAUAAACAGUCAAGAUGAAUAUACAGAAGCUCUAAAGAGUGCAUUUA